rnacentral:rRNA from 1 species
AACGGCGGUCGCUCUCAUGCCGCCGG